rnacentral:rRNA from 1 species
GACGAACGCUGGCGGCGUGCCUAAUACAUGCAAGUAGAACGCACAGUUUAUACCGUAGCUUGCUACACCAUAGACUGUGAGUUGCGAACGGGUGAGUAACGCGUAGGUAACCUGCCUGGUAGCGGGGGAUAACUAUUGGAAACGCUAGCUAAUACCGCAUAAUAUUUAUUAUUGCAUGAUAAUUAAUUGAAAGGUGCAAUUGCACCACUACCAGAUGGACCUGCGUUGUAUUAGCUAGUAGGUGAGGUAACGGCUCACCUAGGCGACGAUACAUAGCCGACCGGAUAGGGCGAGCGGCCACACUGGGACGGAGACACGGCCCAGACUCCUACGGGAGGCAGCAGGAGGGAAUCUGCGGCAAUGGACGAAAGUCUGACCGAGCAACGCCGAGGGAGGGAAGAAGGUUGUCGGAUCGUAAAGCUCGGUUGUAGGGGAAGAACGGGUGUGAGAGUGGAAAGUUCACACUGUGACGGUAUCUUACAAGAAAGGGACGGCUAACUACGUG